rnacentral:rRNA from 1 species
AUCGAACGCUGGCGGCAGGCCUAACACAUGCAAGUCGAGCGGUUGAGGUAGCUUGCUACCGAUGCAGCGGCGGACGGGUGAGUAAUACAUGGGAAUCUGCCUGGUAGUGGGGGACAACGUUUCGAAAGGAACGCUAAUACCGCAUACGCCCUACGGGGAAAGGGGGGAUCGCAAGACCUCUCGCUAUCAGAUGAGCCCAU